UGUGACUCGGAGGAGAUGCGCAUGUGCUGUGAGCACGAACAAACAGGCGUGUGAAGGGAUGCAUGCACUUAACAGGUGCGUACAGGCUGUGUGCUGUGUGGCUGAAGGCAGGCGGAGGUGGGAAGCAACAAUACACAAAACCCAAUUGGUCGGGGGUUAAAGGAUCACACUUAGCUUUGCAGCUCCAUCCACAUGACGAUGCCACGGCAGAUGAAACCCACACAGAUGUACACCCUUCCCAGCAGCACCUGGGUUCCCUCCCUCCCCCCUUUCCGCUCCCUGCUACCUGCAGAAUCAAGGACUCAGAGAGCAAGUGGGAGGAGGCUACACAGUGCCAAGAUUCUCAUCUUCCAAUCCUUCGCCAACUCUCUUUACUCUGCCUUAAACGAAAGCAAUCCCAAAAGAACAAGAAAAACAUCGCAACGGACAUUCUAAAUGCCUUGUGUGCAGCACUUCUGGAGCAAAUCACCGACUGUCUGAGCUGGCGGGGACCUUGGGCGGCCUCUGGCCCACCCAAC